rnacentral:rRNA from 1 species
GUGGAUUAGAUACCCCGGUAGUCCACCCCGUAAACGUUGGGAACUAGUUGUGGGGUCCAUUCCACGGAUUCCGUGACGCAGCUAACGCAUUAAGUUCCCCGCCUGGGGAGUACGGCCGCAAGGCUAAAACUCAAAGGAAUUGACGGGGACCCGCACAAGCGGCGGAGCAUGCGGAUUAAUUCGAUGCAACGCGAAGAACCUUACCAAGGCUUGACAUAUACGAGAACGCUGCAGAAAUGUAGAACUCUUUGGACACUCGUAAACAGGUGGUGCAUGGCUGUCGACAGCU